rnacentral:rRNA from 1 species
UACGUAGGGAGCAAGCGUUAAUCGGAAUUACUGGGCGUAAAGCGUGCGCAGGCGGUUUUGUAAGUCUGACGUGAAAUCCCCGGGCUCAACCUGGGAAUUGCGUUGGAGACUGCAAGGCUAGAAUCUGGCAGAGGGGGGUAGAAUUCCACGUGUAGCAGUGAAAUGCGUAGAGAUGUGGAGGAACACCGAUGGCGAAGGCAGCCCCCUGGGUCAAGAUUUACGCUCAUGCACGAAAGCGUGGGGAGCAAACAGG